rnacentral:rRNA from 1 species
GAUGAACGCUGGCGGCGUGCCUAAUACAUGCAAGUCGAGCGAACAGACGAGGAGCUUUCUCCUCUGACGUUAGCGGCGGACGGGUGAGUAAAACGUGGAUAACCUACCUAUAAGACUGGGAUAACUUCGGGAAACCGGAGCUAAUACCGGAUAAUAUAUUGAACCGCAUGGUUCAAUAGUGAAAGACGGUUUUGCUGUCACUUAUAGAUGGAUCCGCGCCGCAUUAGCUAGUUGGUAAGGUAACGGCUUACCAAGGCAACGAUGCGUAGCCGACCUGAGAGGGUGAUCGGCCACACUGGAACUGAGACACGGUCCAGACUCCUACGGGAGGCAGCAGUAGGGAAUCUUCCGCAAUGGGCGAAAGCCUGACGGAGCAACGCCGCGUGAGUGAUGAAGGUCUUCGGAUCGUAAAACUCUGUUAUUAGGGAAGAACAAAUGUGUAAGUAACUAUGCACGUCUUGACGGUACCUAAUCAGAAAGCCACGGCUAACUACGUG